UACGGGAGUAAUAAGGGCGUAUGGUGGAUGCCUCGACAUGGAGAGCCGAUGAAGGACGUAGCAGCCUGCGAAAAGCUUCGGGGAGGUGGCAAGCAACCUUUGAUCCGGAGAUGUCCGAAUGGGGAAACCUGGUCGUCCGUUGAGGGCGAUCGCGAACCAGGGCGACCUGGGGAGCGGGUACCGGCUGAAGUGAAACAUCUCAGUAAGCCGAGGAAAAGAAAAGAAGGGCAAACCUAAAUCGCCCAUCAUCUUUAAACGGGUGAUGAGCGAUUCAGCGUUUGUCGAUUCCCUGAGUAGUGGCGAGCGAAAGGGGAGUAGUCCAAACUCAUCGCGUGUGCCGUCGAACUGAGCACGGAUAGCAAUAUUUGUGCCGCAGACGACUGGCUAAAGGUACGAGCCGUUGCGCGGUGUGGUGUUGUACGAAGUCUGUUGGGGUCGCUCGUAACGACCCGGCGAUGUUAAAUUGCAGUUCUUAGCCGAACGACUUGGAAAAGUCGGCCAAAGACGGUGAUAGCCCGGUAGGCGAAAAUUAUCUGCAUCAUCGCGAUGGAUUCUCGUGAGUAAUACGGGACUCGGGAAGGCCCGUAUGAAGCCGCGUCGACUAUGACGCAAGACUAAAUACUGUCCAUGAUCGAUAGUGAACAAGUACCGUGAGGGAAAGGUGAAAAGCAGCCCGGGAGGGCGAUGAAAUAGUAUCUGAAACCGUACGCUUACAAGGAGUGGGAGCCCUAAGUACCGCAAGGUGCAGGGUCACCGCGUUCCUAUUGAAGAAUGAGCCAACGAGUUUGCUGCAUGUUGCUCGGUUAAACCCCUGAGGGGGCGAAGCCAAAGUGAAAGCGAGCCUUAACGGGCGCCGUCGACUUUCAACUCUCCGCCGGAGAAAUCCGACGAAGGGCUGAUUGUCGACAAGUAGCAUGCACAAGACCCGAAACCCGGUGAGCUAGCCAUGGUCAGGAUGAACCACGAGUAAAAUCGUGGGGAGGUCCGAACCCGUCUGCCGUGCGACACAGUGGGAUGAACUGUGGCUAGGGGUGAAAUUCCAAUCGAACUGGGUGAUAGCUGGUUCUCCGCGAGAUAGCUUUAGGGCUAGCGUCGGAUGCUGAAGUCUACGGGGGUAGAGCACUGAAAGGGAGUCGGUGGCGCAAGCCUACGAAUCCCUACCAAACUCCGAAUACCGUAGAUGAAUAUCCGGCAGUCAGACUAUGGGGGCUAAGCUCCAUUAGUCGAGAGGGGAAGAGCCCAUGAUCCCAAACCAAGGUCCCUAAAUCAUAGUUAAGUGUAAAAGGUGGUGGAGCGGCUUAUACAACUAGGAGGUUGGCUUAGAAGCAGCCAUCCUUUAAAGAAAGCGUAACAGCUCACUAGUCAAGCCGUUCUGCGCCGAAAACAUACCGGGGCUAAACUAUGUACCGAAGUUGGGGGCCGUACGCAUUAGCGUAUGGCGGUAGCGGAGCGUUCUCUGGUGAGUGAAGUAGGACCCGCGAGGGCCUAUGGACGCCAGAGAAGUGAGAAUGUUGGCACAAGUAGCAUAAAUGAAUGUGAAAACCAUUCACGCCGUAAACCCAAGGUUUCCUGGGCAACGCAAUUCGGCCCAGGGUUAGUCGGUCCUAAGACGAGGCGGAAACGCGUAGUCGAUGGACAGCAGGUUAAUAUUCCUGCACUUCCGAGUAGGUCGACGGGAUGACGCAUUCCGGGAUCCAGUGCGACUUUCGGCUAUAGUCGUCACGAGGGCGCAAGAGGGCUGCCAGGAAAAUCCGGCAGCGGAAAUCAAGCGCUCGGUGAAAGUCGGCCGCGAGGCUGGCGAUUCUGGAAAACGGGGUGCCUAGAAAAGUCCCUAGAAUUAUCUUACUAGGAAACCGUACCGUAAUCCGACACAGGUGGGUGGGCACAAGUGUGCCAAGGCGAACGAGAGAACCAUCGUUUAGGAACUAGGCAAAAAAGUGGCCGUAACUUCGGGAUAAGGCCUGGCCGUCGCAAGACGGCCCGCAGCGAGCGUUUGCUUACCGACUGUUUACCAAAAACACAGGUUCCUGCUAAACCGCAAGGUGAUGUAUAGGAGCUGAUGCCUGGCCAGUGUCAGAACGUUAAGAGGAGGGGUGAAAUUGUAGCAAUACAUCGUAGCUCUGAAUCCAAGCGCUGAUGAACGCCGGCGAUAACUAUAAUCGUCCUAAGGUAGCGAAAUUCCUUGUCGGGUGAGUUCCGACCCGCACGAAUGGCAUAACGAGUGAGCAACUGUCUUAACGAUGGACUCGGCGAAACUGCAAGGGGAGUGAAGAUGCUCUCUACCCGUAGCUGGACGAAAAGACCCCGUGAAGCUUUACUACAACUUGCUAUUGGAUUUACGCUUCGUAUGUUCAGCGUAGGUGGGAGCCUUCGGGCGCCGAUGAGACACCACCCUUAUGCUGCGUGAAUUCUUACCCUGUGACCUCACAGGUCGCGAAAACUAUUUCGGGCGACGGCCCUCUGCCGUCCGUCCUGCGCUCUUUAAAUUUUUCGCGAUCGGUGCGGUCACAGGAGACAGUAGCUGGCAGGUAGUUUGACUGGGGCGGUGGCCUCCCAAAAAGUAACGGAGGCGUUUACAAAGGUUAGCUUAGCUCCGAUGGAAACGGAGCCGGACGUGCAAACGCAAAAGCUAGCCUUACUGGAAGUCCAACAAGACGACCAGUCGCGAAAGCGGAAGUUAGUGAUCCGACGAU
rfam:Candidatus Thrbacteria bacterium RIFCSPHIGHO2_02_FTLL_60_10 rifcsphigho2_02_scaffold_71883, whole genome shotgun sequence.